AUAUUCUGUAUGAUGCCAGCUUAGGUGGGUAGUUCCUACAGUACAGGAAACUUAACAAUCUCUAGGACUAAAAGAUAAAAGAAUGCCUCUUAGGCUCGUUUAUCUUUAGUACUUCAUGGUUUUUAAAAAAAAAAAUGAGGGUGUGGGGAAGUGUAAAUGGCAAUGUUAUGGCAGUAAUUGCUAAAAAAAAAUUAGAUUAUAGUAAAUUUUAAUGAUAGAGUCUCUGGACUCAGCUAUCAAGGAUAAUCAUUGCAGAUUUGGGGACAUUGUUGCCCAUGGUGUGGCAUAUGAAAGAACAAAAUAACUCCGUUAGUUUGACCUUUCUGUGAACAUUUGCUACUUUUGCAAUGGAAUCAUGCAAGUAUAUAAAAUUGCUUUUAUUACAGACAUCUUUGUAUUCCACCUGCCUUUUUUUAUUUUCCAUUUGCAGUCUGUUCAGUUCAGGAAGCUGCUAUAACACUUGGUGCCAGUGUUCCCAAACUCUAAAUAAUGUGUUUUCCAUUUUGCACUAACCAUCAGGAAACUAGAAUUUCUGGUUUCCUCAGGUAUGUGUAGUGGUCAUUAGUGUUAUGUGAAAGUUUCAUAGCAUUUGAUUAUAACAUAAGGUAUUUAUAAAGAGAAAGUUUUCUGUUUUAAGUUAGCUUUCGUGUUCUUUUGUAUUCUAUAUGAAUCAAGUAAAUGCUUUAGGGAUAUUAACCUGGAAAAAAUUAUUGACUUUGUAAGCUCACAAUUCAUGUAAAUAAAUUUUUAUAAAAUAUGGAAGAAUUUAAACAUUUGACAGGAAGAGAACAACUUUUUAAAUUUGAGAUAUAUUGAUUUCAGAGAGGUUAGUGAUAGCUGGAAAUUUUAUUCGCCCUAGUAAUUAUUUUGUUUACAUUAAAAAAUGUGUAAUAAGGCUACAAAAUAGUUAACAGAUUACUGUAACGUACUUGAUACAUAUGAGUGGCAGAGCAACUGAAAUGUCCAAAAUUGGAGAAUUAGCAGACUCUUGUUCUUACCUACUUAUAGAGCCAUUGUGCUUUUUUGGUAUCGCACAGUGAUAAUGUUUUACUUUGAACUACAAAAAUCGCAAUGCAGAUAAUGCUGCUGGAAAACUAAAAAUAGAUAUUAAAAAGACUUCUAAGUACUUAAAUAUUCUCUAAAGGAAAAGCUCUAAAAUUGUUGACAUUUCUUUACUUGUUUUAUGAAUACUGAAGUGUUAACAUUUCUUAACUAACGUUUACUCCAAUAACUAGGCACUGGACAUUAUAGCUCUAUGCAUGGAUUAAAAGAAGAAGUGUCGUUUCCCAAACAUAAAACUGAAUUUGCUACUUGUGUGCUGUUGGGGAUUCAUGAUUAUUCUGUCCAUAGAGAGGGUACUUUUUCAGAAAUCCGGAAAUAGUAUGGAACCCUCAAAUAAAUAAGCAGCUGAGGAGUUUGGUGUUACGGAGUGUGUUGUAUUUUUACAGGUGCCACUGAUUAAUGAACUUGAAUCAGCAAUACAUCAGCUGUACAAACAGCGAGCUUCCCGCCUUGUCCAAAGACGACAAGAUGAUAUUAAAGAUGAAUCUUCGGAGUUUUCAAGCCAUUCAAGUCAGUCCAUCUUGAAGACAAAGCUCUGAUGGCACCAAAUCUUGAUUCCUUUGGACGUGAUCGGGCACUGUAUCAAGAGCAUGCAAAACGUCGCAUUGCAGAGCGGGAGGCCAGGAGGACUCGUCGUAGACAAGCCAGAGAACAAACCGGUAAGAUGGCAGAUCACCUUGAAGGCCUUUCCAGUGAUGAUGAAGAAACUUCUACAGAUAUUACUAAUUUCAAUCUGGAAAAAGAUCGAAUUUCAAAAGAAUCCAGCAAAGUUUUUGAAGAUGUCCUUGAAAGUUUCUAUUCAAUUGACUGUAUUAAAUCACAGUUUGAAGCAUGGCGUUCAAAAUACUACACAUCCUACAAAGAUGCUUACAUUGGCCUUUGUUUGCCAAAAUUAUUCAACCCGCUCAUACGACUUCAGCUCCUCACUUGGACUCCUCUUGAGGCAAAAUGUCGUGACUUUGAGAAUAUGCUGUGGUUUGAAUCUUUGCUGUUUUAUGGUUGUGAAGAACGAGAGCAAGAAAAAGAUGAUGUAGAUGUUGCCCUACUACCUACCAUUGUGGAAAAGGUGAUUCUUCCUAAACUAACAGUGAUAGCUGAAAAUAUGUGGGACCCUUUUUCUACAACACAGACUUCAAGAAUGGUGGGAAUUACACUAAAAUUAAUCAAUGGAUAUCCUUCAGUAGUGAAUGCAGAAAAUAAAAAUACACAGGUAUACCUAAAGGCACUUUUAUUGAGAAUGAGAAGAACUUUAGAUGAUGAUGUAUUUAUGCCCUUAUAUCCCAAAAAUGUCUUAGAAAAUAAAAAUUCUGGGCCUUACUUGUUUUUUCAACGACAGUUUUGGUCUUCAGUUAAGCUGUUAGGCAAUUUUCUUCAGUGGUAUGGCAUUUUCUCAAAUAAAACUCUGCAAGAGUUAUCAAUAGAUGGUUUAUUAAAUCGAUAUAUUCUCAUGGCUUUUCAGAAUUCAGAAUAUGGAGAUGACAGCAUCAAAAAAGCCCAAAAUGUAAUCAAUUGUUUCCCCAAACAAUGGUUCAUGAAUCUGAAAGGAGAACGGACUAUUUCUCAGUUAGAAAACUUUUGCCGAUACCUUGUACACUUAGCAGAUACAAUUUAUAGAAAUAGUAUUGGGUGCUCUGAUGUGGAAAAAAGAAAUGCAAGGGAAAACAUAAAACAGAUAGUAAAACUCCUUGCAAGUGUUCGAGCUUUGGAUCAUGCUAUGUCUGUUGCAAGUGACCACAAUGUGAAAGAAUUUAAGUCUUUGAUCGAAGGAAAAUAGAUCUAUGAGACUGAAAAACCUAUUUGCUUGAUUACCAUUCCCAAUGUGUAAAUUUUGUAUAUAUGUAAAGUUUCUUAAACUGUAAAAUAGCAAUUCUUGUUUUAAUACAAAAAACAUUAUAUUCAAUACUGUGUCCUUAAAUGAUAUUUCUUCAGAAUGAAAGGAAUUCAGAUUAUUUCUAGGAGUCUAUGAAUGUUUUCUUUACUGCCUGUCAUACUUUGUUUACUGAAGUAUUUUGUAUGGUCAUUUAAAUUAACCCUCUCAGUUAAUUGUCCCCUGUAAACGAUGUGUGCAGUGUAAAUUGUGUAAUUAUGCAUAUAUAUAUUUAUACCACCAUGGACUUACUUUCACACUGGAAAUUUGUGGUGUUUUUUCCACAGAGGAAGCCUUUUAACAGCAGAAAAUUAUCCGGUAGCAAAUUGUCUUAGGGAAAUUACUACGCUGUUGUAACAAAAGGGCUGGCAAGUGACUAAAUGUUCGUUACCUUUUGGUUAGCGUUGCUAUCACUGUAGCUGUGCUGCCUUAACAUUGAGAGUUGAGUUGUGGACUUAAGUCACUGAGUGAAUGUUGAACUUUCUUCCUUGAAUCAGCGUUAGAGUCAAAUGUGGGUUUAAUGUGAAUGCUAAAUGAAUAUGCAACAUAGUUUCAAAUGGAACAUAGAAAUUUCACUUUUGAAAAUAAUAAACCCACAACCUAAUUGCAUGGUUUUGGGCUGACCGUCCUGUCUCAUUCAUGAUUUUAUUCCCUGCCCAGCUUGCAGACACAUGCAUUUGAAUUUUAGUAGUCUGUCAUAUUUAAAAUCCCACAUAUGUGAGUUAAAUAUGCAAUAAAGAAUACGCCUUGCUGAUUAGCCACACCCAGGCAAUUUAAUAUCCAUGGUAUUCUAUAAUGUUUAUACCACAUUGUAAAUAUUCAGAGAACUUGUUUUAAAGUUUAUGCUUUCUGAUUCUGUGAUUUUCAAAAGAGGAAUUUUUUUGGAAAUUAAGGACUAUCGUUUGAUAAUUAUAUAUGUAAUUAAGCUUUAGCCAAGCAUUAAAUUAAUUUUUAAAUAU
rnacentral:sRNA from 1 species